AAGAAGUAAGACGUUGGUAGGUGGCAACUAGAGGCGACAGGCCAAUAAUGCCACUGGCUCUGAGCAAAGGUGCAAACCUUUCUGGAAAGGGAGCAGGUCUGAAUUACACAAGGUUGUUUACCGAUCGAUCAGGCCAGUGCAUUGAGGGCAGGACAUACAGAGAGCAUUGCUUCAGUGCUCCUUCCAGGGUCCAAGUGCCAUGGGUGCAGUGCAAGCGUGACUAAUAAUGCACUUGGCUACACUACCUGUGGACAAUUGCUUGGUGUCUCCCACCACAAUGGGGUUAGUUGUGAGACAUGGAUGUAGGAACUUGUAAUAUAGUUAUAUAACUUUUAAAAAUGUUGAAAUUAGAAAUCUCUUACUAGUGACCAUAUUAUGAAAUCAACCACAUCAAGUGAGAAAAAAUAAAUUCACUAAAACUAUACAAUACAGUGGGACUUUGGUUUACGAAUUUAAUGCGUUCUCCGGGACGUUUCUUAUUGCAAAAAAUGUUUAAGCCGAAACGCGGUUUCCCAUAGGAAUGCAUUGAAAACCAAUUAAUCUGUUCUAGAGGUCAGAAAAAAGUCAAAAUGAGCUGACAUGGAAACUAACCCACAAUAAAAGGCAUGCAAACGACAAAGCUCAGCUCACUACCUUUCCACAGCUUGAGAAAUGCACCUAAAUGUCCC